GGGCUGGUAGCUCAGUUCGGCAGAGCGCCCGCCUCAUAGGCGGAGGUGCGCUGCUUCGAGUCCAGUCCAGCCCA
rnacentral:tRNA from 1 species